UACAUAAUACAAUCUAAAACUGUAUCAAAAGUCUUUGUAGUUAAAUUGAGGAUAUGGAAAGAAAUAGUUUUGUAGUUUAGCUAAAUAAAAAUAAAAACAUUUGUCUUGGAACUUUUUGACUGUUGUCAGUAUGUAGUUCACAGAAGUGGAGUUCCAACGGAUGUACAUUUACUGUUUUAUUGUAGACGUUCUACAAUAUUAAUAGAGCGUGUUGGGUUUGGCAUUAAUUUUAGAUGAAGUGUACACAGUGUUGACUUUUUAUUCUGGGUUCAUCUGACGCACUCGUGCAUUUCUGUGUCUUCCUCUGGCAGGAGAAUACGUCUUCACGUCUAAUCCCGACUCUGCAGCGCUUUAAUUAUCCAGGAGAAAGCAGGUUUGCUCCUGGCUAACGCUCCCUGCCUGCUUUAAACAAAGUACCAGGAUGAUGACGGAACAAAGACGGACAAAGUCUCCAGGUCCACGGCAGAAUUCCAAAGAGAAUAACAUCAGGAAGUGACAAACCCCCGGCUGAUAUCAUGUGACCACAGCGUCAGCAGCAGAGUUCUGCAGCAGAACACUGAGAGGUCUGUGAAGGAACCCUGCUGCAGGGCACACACGACCUGAGAGGAAGAGAGAGUGACCUGGAGCACGGUGGAAAAGACGGUGCUGCAGCGGCUCUGAGACAAGUGCGACUGCCGUGAAAGUGUCAACUGUUCAAAUCCAACUAGAACAGAGCUUCUCUACCAUUAUCACUGAUUCACUCACGGUGAACUAUUUGGUCCAUCCACCCGACCAUCCAUCCACCCGACCAUCCAUCCACCUGACCAUCCAUUCAGCGAUUGAUUUGUCCACAUUAUCCAGGGUCACGUUGGGCCAAACGCUCCAACUCCAUAAUUGCAGCACACACACAGGACAGUGUUUGUCCAGUCAUUUGAAGGCCCAGUUCACGGAUGGCCGUCCUUUUCCUCUGACAGACGAGGCCCAUAUUACUGAGGCUCUGGCCAGGGAUGGACUGCAAAUCCCCUGCAAUCCACUUCUACUGGGAGACACCUGACUCUGCACCCAGGCCUCUGGCUGUCGCUCCCCACUGAUGUGUGCCGGUCUGACGAGAGCCGCCGGACUCUGAGUUGAUGUGGCCAGAAGGAGACGACGUCCACCUUCCACCUCUGAUACAGGCAAGGGUCUCUGUGAUGUGGCAGCUCUUUGUUCUGUCCGUUUCCCACUGGUCAGGAUGGCGGUUAUUCAGAACUUUUUAUUUCUUUUUAAUUGUUUUCAUUAUGAGCUUUGUUUUUUGAUUGUGCCAAAGGUGUCAGAUGCUGCAGUCAAAAAAUGUCUCUCUUCAGUUUCACUGUCGCUCGCUCUACAUAUAAAUACAUAUAUAUUCAUACAUUUAUACAUAAGUUACAGCAUGAAUGUAUAUAUUUAUACAUAUAUAUGU